rnacentral:rRNA from 1 species
UACGGGGGGAGCAAGCGUUGUUCGGAUUUACUGGGCGUAAAGGGCGCGUAGGCGGUCAGCACAAGUCAGUUGUGAAAUCUCCGGGCUUAACUCGGAAAGGUCAACUGAUACUGUGCGACUAGAGUGCAGAAGGGGCAACUGGAAUUCUCGGUGUAGCGGUGAAAUGCGUAGAUAUCGAGAGGAACACCGAUGGCGAAGGCAGCCCCCUGGGCCGAACACUGACGCUCAGGCACGGAAAGCGUGGGGAGCAAACAGG